GUCGUUGCCAUGCGUUUUUGCCGUCGCCGCUAGUUUCGCUACCGUUGAGCUCGAAGGAGAAAGGGAGAGCGACGCUGACAAAGAGAUUGACGGAAGCCAGUGAAGCGCGUGAGACAAGGGAAGCCGAUUCUGUCACCGCCGCCGCACCCAGUUGCCGUCGUUCGAGCUCGCCGUCACUGGAGAUGAACCGGUGUCGUGUCCUUGCGGCCAGAGCCACCAGCGCCACUACUACUACUCAAAUUCCGCUUCUCUUCCAUUAGGGUUUGCUAUCUCAGCAGCCUUUUUGAAGCUAGACUUAGUUAGAGAUAAGGCAAUGAUUAUUGUUGCAUGGAAUGGAUCCGGGAAUCCAAGUACAAUUUUUAAUGGUGAUGUCUUCAAGAAGGUGCUGAGUGUGUUUAUAACAGCAGCCAUAUUGAAACUUGGACAAGCUACUCUGGAUGUGAUUCUCAGUUGGAAAGCUC